rnacentral:ncRNA from 1 species
AAUGAGAUUAAUUUUUUCUUGAUAGUUAAUUAUUUUAUUACAGCAUAGAUAAUAUUUAACUUUAAAUAAAUAAUAUAAAGUUCAAAUUUAAUGCUUAUAUUAAUUAAUUUAUAUGAGAGUAUAUAUAGUAAUUUAAUAUUAAAAUAUAUUAUACUAAGUUGGUGCCAGCAGUAGCGGUUAUACUAACUAAUUUAAUUAAUUAGUGGUUAAUUUAAUGGUAGUUAAAAUAUUUUUAAUUAGUUAAUUAUAAUUAUCUUAAUUAUUUUGGUGAAAUAUAAUUUUUAAGAGUUAUUUAAUUAAUAUUAAAUUAGCAUUCCAUUAGAAGGUUGAAGGUUAAACUAGGAUUAGAUACCCUAUUAUAUUAAUUAAGAGGUUUAUUGAAUUAAGAGAUUAAAUGUAUAAAUCAUUAGAUUUAAAGAAUUUGGCGGCAUCUUUAUAACUAGAGGAACUUGUCUGGUAAAUGAUAAUCCACGAUAGGAUUUACUUUUUUAAUAUCUUAUGUAUUGUUGUUUUUUUGAUUGAGUUGUAAAAUGUUGGUCUGUUUAUAUUAUUUUAUAAUAAUUCAAAUCAAAGUGUAGGUUUAGAAAGAUUUUGAUGAGUUACAUUGAUUUUUUAUUUUUAUUAUAAUGGAUUAGUGAAUUUAAUUUUGCUAUGAGAUAGAAUUUAGUUGUAAAAUAUAAUUAAUUAUUUUGCUUGAAUUUAAUUAAAGGUGUGUACAAAUUGCCCGUCAUUCUUGUCUUUAGAUGGGAGAAGUCGUAACAUAGUAAAGGUACUGGAAAGUGCUUUUGGAUUAAU